CAAAAGCUUCCUAUGCCAUUCAAGAGAAUAGGUGCAUGGAUGAGAAAAAGUGUUAUCAGUCAGGAUAAGCCAGGUAACAAAUAGUCUGAACAAUGCCAGUGGCUUAUGACAGCAAAGGUUCUAUUUCUCACUCUUGUUACAUCCCAUCAUGGGUCAGCAGAGGGCUUGCUCACCAUUUCCAACCUUGUCACUGAGGGAAGAGAGAGCUUUGGAGGACCCAGGCCCAGCAACGGCACGCUCUUGCCUGGAAGUGACCUGUAUCAUACCUGCCGGCAAGUCAUUGAUCAGAACCAGUCGCAUAGCCCCGCCCAGCCAGCAGAGGGCUGGGGGCUGCAAUAACGCCAUGUGCCCGGGAAGUGGAAAGCUGGAAGUUCCUGCCAAAUGGCAUACAUGAUGAACACAAAGGAGACUGUGAACCUGGAACCUCUCCCAACCCGACUUUCAUGGAACCUGCCUAGAAAGUGGCCAAGUACACGAACCAGUCUGUAACAUCCUGGACACUUAAGGAUUGGGACAGAAGGACGAUACUCUCUCUUUCUGGGACAUUAACGCAUGGGACGGGCUUCACUCCAAGAUCGCUGAAAAAGACCUCCCAUCAGCACCAUAGUACAGUGGCACCACCCUGGACCGGCUGGGAGUCCCCACACUGGCAACACAUCCCCAUCUUCUGCUGAAGUUGCCCCACAUUUCCGAAUAGCCUUGUUUCCUCUCAAGGGAAGACUCAAAUGUUCUGCCUCUCUGCGAGGCCUUGAGUCAUCAACGGCACCAGUGUCCACUGUGACAUCGUGACAUUCCAUGGCUAACACCAGAUCUUUUCAUACUGCUUUGACUCUGGGGCCCCGAGGAAGUACCUGGGGGAAGGAUUUUUAAUCCUGAAGGCUUUUCCCGAUUUGGAUGGGAGUCCCUUCCUUGAGAGGAACCAUGAGAAGUUGGAAACUCUCUCUAAAAGAAUCACUACUCUCAGGGCCAAGACUCCACCUAACUGCUAGUGGUCACUGUGGAGAUGACGAUGUGGCCCACCGUCCACACUGCACACACAGCUCAGCAAACCGGGCUCUGUAUUCACCACGUCCAUAGAAACCAGGAUGGGCCAGGCUAGAGUGAACUCCUCCCCUCGGGAGACCUGCUGGCUCUCUGACGCCCCAGGACCCAGAAGGGGGAAGGGAGUUGAGGCCAGGCUAGGCCAGUGAGGAGCGGGAGUGGAUACAACCUCUGGGUUUCUGGCACCAACAUGUGGUGCCCAAGCAUUGCCAUCUGGAGAUCAACUGAGGUAUGUUGUUUGAACCUAAAUUGUGUAGUGGACAUUCCAAUAUAUAAAUGAUAAUGAACAUUAUGAGUGCGAAUGGGAUUAUGCAGCAAAAUGUACAGAGGAAGAGGAUUCUGGACAGAAACUCAAUACCAACAACUUUAGGAUAGGGGAGAGGAAGACACCAGAGAGUGAGGCAGAAGAAAGCAAUUGAAGUAUGAUUCUUGGAAGCCAAGGAAAGGAAUGUUUGAGGAGAGUGAAAUUUAUCAACCAAUGUUCCUGAGACAGAGACAGUGAUUAGUAACUGAGAUGGCCCUGGUGACCUGCCCAGAGCAAUUGCAGUGGAAGAGGGGCAUGGGAACCACAGAACAGGAUGUAGAAACAAUGAAGAGACAAGAAGAGAAGAUGGGAAGUACACCAUGUCACGUGCGUUACCUCUAACCAUCACAUCCAUCCCAGGUCACACUGUGAGGCCAUCAACAAGUUGAGAGGAAAAGAAGGAACAACGGUGCCAUCACAAGAGUGAAGCAGCUCACUCAGUGCUGUUCCAAUAAAAUGUUGCUGCUGAAACACA